rnacentral:rRNA from 1 species
GGAGAACUGCCGGUGACGAAACCGGAGGAAGGUGGGGAUGACGUCAAGUCAUCAUGGCCCUUACGGCCUGGGCUACACACGUGCUACAAUGGGUCGGUACAAAGGGUUGCCAAGCCGCGAGGUGGAGACUAAUCCCAAUAAAACCGAUCGUAGUCCGGAUCGCAGUCUGCCAACUCGACUGCGUGAAGUCGGAAUCGCUAGUAAUCGUGAAUCAGAAUGUCACGGUGAAUACGUUCCCGGGCCUU